UACGUAGGGUGCGAGCGUUAAUCGGAAUUCCUGGGCGUAAAGCGUGCGCAGGCGGUUUUGUAAGUCAGAUGUGAAAUCCCCGGGCUUAACCUGGGAACUGCGUUUGAAACUACAAGGCUAGAGUGUGGCAGAGGGGGGUGGAAUUCCACGUGUAGCAGUGAAAUGCGUAGAGAUGUGGAGGAACACCGAUGGCGAAGGCAGCCCCCUGGGUUAACACUGACGCUCAGGCACGAAAGCGUGGGGAGCAAACAGG
rnacentral:rRNA from 1 species